rnacentral:rRNA from 1 species
CCUACGGGGGGCAGCAGUGAGGAAUAUUGGUCAAUGGACGCGAGCCUGAACCAGCCAAGUAGCGUGAAGGAUGACUGCCCUAUGGGUUGUAAACUUCUUUUAUAUAGGAAUAAAGUGAGGCACGUGUGCCUUUUUGUAUGUACCUUAUGAAUAAGGAUCGGCUAACUCCGUGCCAGCAGCCGCGGUAAUACGGAGGAUCCGAGCGUUAUCCGGAUUUAUUGGGUUUAAAGGGAGCGUAGGUGGGUUGUUAAGUCAGUUGUGAAAGUUUGCGGCUCAACCGUAAAAUUGCAAUUGAUACUGGCAGUCUAGAGUACAGUUGAGGUAGGCGGAAUGCGUGGUGUAGCGGUGAAAUGCUUAGAUAUCACGAAGAACUCCGAUUGCGAAGGCAGCUUACUAAACUGCCACUGACAUUGAGGCUCGAAAGUGUGGGUAUCAAACAGGAUUAGAUACCCCUGUAGUC